rnacentral:misc_RNA from 1 species
CAUGAUUUACUUUAUAAACAAACCGUGAACUUUAUUAUAUACUAUUCGUGUUGUAAUGUUUAUCAUUAUUUACACUGUCAUUCGAUGAACAUUAGAUAGCUGGCUCGUUUAUUUAUAAACUUUCUCAGCUGAUUUGUUUGUUAGACUAAACAUCUAUUCAAUCAAUCAACCAAACAUAGAAA